rnacentral:rRNA from 1 species
AGGAUAAACGCUGGCGGCGUGCCUAACACAUGCAAGUCGAACGUCCUACGCAAGUAGGGAGUGGCGGACGGGUGAGGAACACGUGGGGAUCUACCCUGUAGUUCGGAAUACCGGCGAGAAAUCACCGACAAAUACCGGAUAGCCUUCUCACGAAGGAAAGCUCGCAAGGGCGCUAGAGGAUGAACCUGCGGCUGAUUAGCUUGUUGGUGAGGUAAAGGCUCACCAAGGCCACGAUCAGUAGCUGGUCUGAGAGGACGAUCAGCCACACUGGGAUUGAGAACGGCCCAGACUCCUACGGGGGGCAGCAGUGAGGAAUUUUCGUCAAUGGGGGCAACCCUGAACGAGCAACGCCGCGUGCAGGAUGAAGGCCUUCGGGUCGUAAACUGUCUUUUCUUUGGGACGAGCAAAGGACGGUACCGAGAGGAACCAAGCCCCGGACUAACUACGUGCCAGCAGCCGC